GGACCGGUUUAUAUCGGGUAAGGAGGAUGCUGACAUAACCGGGAUCAGUGGAGUGAAGAUGAUUCCGUUUGGUGUUGGCCGUCGGAUCUGUCCUGGGCUUGGAAUGGCGACCGUACACGUGCACCUCAUGCUUGCGAGGAUGGUUCAAGAGUUUGAGUGGACCGCUUAUCCGACCGGAAGCGAGAUUGAUUUCGCCGGUAAAACGGAGUUCACGGUGGUGAUGAAGAAUCCAUUGAGAGCCAAGGUUAAACCAAGGGUUUAAUUUUUUUAAAUUAUCUAUUUUCACGUAUUUUAAUUUUAUCUUUGUAUUAUAAAUUUUCUAAUUAUCCAAUAAUCAUUUUGGUUACAAGAAGCUUCUGUUAAAAAUAUUUAAAUAACAAACUUAUGAUCUAAGAGAUUGAUUAAUACUAGUUGAUACUUGAUAGUUUAACCCAUUUACAAUCAUUUAAAUUUUUUAAUAAUCUUAGAAGCUUCCGUUAAAUAUAUUUAACUAAGAAAACUUAAGAUAAGCAUUGAUUAAUAAUAUUAGUUAUAUAUCAAAAAAAACUUCCAAAGGAAAAAAUAUUCUAAACCCAUUUACAAAUCCCUAGCGUAGAGAAACUAUAUAUACACAUAAGCAGAAGCUACAGAGACUAUUAUGCUUCAAAAAGAAGCAAGCCUUUUUAAUUCAAUCCAAGUAAGCUUGUUUAAUUUUCUGUCAUUACCAAAUAUUAUCAGUUCAAGAAAAGGGAUGCAUCAGCCACCUCGCCGCUUGAAUCAGCUACUACUUUCACGGCUUGUGCAAUCCUACGAGCCAGCAUGGCUUUGUAAACAGCCAAAUCUGCAUUCUCUGCAAGAACCUGAGCUCUUCUUCUUUUGGCCAUGGCAAUCUCCAUAGAUGUAUCAGCCCAGGCUUUGGCUUUUUCCACUCUAAGAAAAACGUUUUGUCCCUCCCAAGCUUCCAGUUUAGCCGCCUUUACAGACACUGUCCAAGUUAAACGGUCCACACAAAUUCAGAUCUCCUUCUCAAUAAAUGUUCUAAGCAAGAUUGUUCCAUGUAACUCUAAUAACUCUCAGGUGUAUAUACUAUUCAUCAUUUUAAGUACUUAGCAAAACCAAUUUAUCACAACACUAUCCACCACAAUCCAUGACAAAACAUAUAGGAACAUACCGAGACUUGAUUGUUUGGAUUUUCCAUGGAGUUGACUCCCCUGUCUCUUGAAAGACCUUCUCUUACGAAAUACAGGUUUGAAAAAUAGCGGAGUCUUCUUCGCUUGAUGACCCUGUUUACAUAACAAACAUAACUUUUGUAACACUGAUGGAAAAACAAAGAACACUGGUCUAAGUAUAUACAAGAACAUGACUCUUACCUGGAAAAUUCUGAGGAGUGGUGCUUUUCUCUGCUUCCUUUUCCUCGCCCAGUAAUCAUACACCGCUUCAACCACAUCUUGCCUACCCAAAUACGAAAGACUAGCUACACUAGCUGCUUUCUCAUCCAAGAGAUCAUCGGCAGGGUUACGGAAGUAGUACUUUUCAAACCCAUCAAUCAUCAGUUCAAAAGUAUCUUGAUGAAGUUGUUGAGACGACUUCUCAUCUUCUCCACCAAGCAUUGCCUCGUUCUGCCUCUCCAGCCACUCUUCAUCCUCAGAAUCCAUGUCAUAGAUGGCAGUGCUUCGAGCCAUGGCCCUUGAAACCUCAUCUUCUUUCACAGAUAUAUAUGGAACCGGCAUAGAAAAUGAAGGCAAAGCAUCAAUAUUCUCUGCAUAGCCACACACUUCUGUUACUCCAGGUAUAGGAAUGACUUUCGCACUCUGUUCCAACACAUUCCUUUCGUAGCACUCUUUAUAAAUCUCCUUGAAACCGAGCCAAUCUCGUCUCUCGCAAAACUCAAGCUUCCAACCAUUAUCCCCUACCCACACUACAGAAUGUGUGAACCUGUUGCACGAGCAAGGUCUCAUAGUCUUCCGCGCCUUGAGUUUGUAUCUGAUUUCCCCAUCCUUCUUGAUAACAACGAACCACUCCUUUGAAGAAACGAACUCCAACACGGCACUGAAACCUUCUUCUCUGGUGCAUCUGUCUGAACCCAAAACCAAAAUAUUCACAGAACAACGUAGAGAAUCAAGCUCCUCUUUUGUCAACGGUUUUGGAACGACACUAAUCUCGUUUGAGUUGUUUAGCACCGAGCUUCUAAGCCUUCUCGUAGAUACUGCUGCUGCUGAUGUCCUGUUUCUCCAUGAUAAUUCGAAAACAGACGUUCCAUUGUACAACUUGUGUCCACUGUGAGCAAGGUUCCUCACUCUUCUCCUCCUUAAGGAUCUUCUCCUCUUCUGGAUACUGUGAAACCCUAAAUUGCCUCUAUACUGAGCAUUAGAGCCUCUCCUCGGAUUACAAGGUGGAGAUGAAACUAACUCAGACUCUGAAUCAGUUUCUUCAACAACUGGAUUGUUUAGCAAAUAAAGAGAUCUCCUCACGAAAGCAAAGGAGCGUUGCGCAUCUCUGAGAAACAGAGUCAAAUGCAUAUCCAUGAAAAAUCGAGGAAUGGCAGCAAAAUCAGCUGACAAGAGAGGAAGACAAUCCACGCCCCCAAAGAACUUGCAUACACCCCUUGAGCUAAGGGAAGUAGGCUCCUGAAACAUUAAAGAUCCUAACUUUAUAUCAUCACUACCAACAUAAACACUAAAGAUCCUAACUUUAUAUCAACAUGCUAUUAACUUAGUUACUUACCUCAAGAAACCUCACGCCAUGAUCUGCAAAGUCGUCGUUGAUAGGUUGAGAUAAGAAGAAAGACGCAAGCGUACGCAAGCUCAGCUCUUCCCUCCUCAAGUACCUCAUCACCAAACCAAAAACAGUCGACAACCAGCAAUCCCCACAAGACCAAUCUACUGUAAGAGCAAUCACAGGACCACAAAGUCGUCUUGUCCGCCUGCGAUAAAACUUGAGGUCUGAACUACCACCACUUGAUUGGUCACAAAGUCUCUUCCUUUUUCUAUUAUAUACAAUCCCAAACUUAGUAUCAACACUCUUCCCAUCUCCGACAGCUUCAGUUCUCACUCUCCUCCGUUUCACGACGGUAAAGUCUUCUCCUUUGUCGUGUUGUUGCUUCUCAGCGAAGACUUUGCCCCCUUUGCAGUCCCAAUCUGGAUCCACAGCGUCAUGGGCCCGCUUGGCCUUGGGCUCGUCGUUAUUGGGCCAAAUCCGGCGACCCGAGCGGAGGACCCGAGCUCCGUCCGCGGCUUUAACCACCCCGAAUACCCUCGUGGUGCGUCUCAUACCCACUGAAGGCAUCUAAACGACAGCGUUUCACUCAAAUAGGCUCUGACUUGUUGUUACUCGGUCGAUCUAUCUUCUCGGAGGACCCCGAAUCCGAUUUCGAAUCGAGUAGAUCUACGGAGAUCGAAGAAAGUUUGAGAAACUCGAUCGAGAUCUGUUCAUGGGUCGUUGAUUCAAGAAUCAAGUAGACAUGGUGGAGAGAUGAGGAAGUUUUGAGAAGUUUCUCGUUUGGAGAAGGAAGAGAGGGAACUGAGGAGGCUGCUAUCUAGGGUUUAUGAUCGAAGGAGAUUAUCAUUUCGAGGGGUAGAUUGGGUCGUGGCCGUUGGAUGAUUGAAACGACGGUUCGGAUUGAUUCGGCUUCGGUGGGUCCCGGAAGGCUAUAUUUAUUUGUUUUUUGCAUACGUAGGCGGCGUAUUUUUUGGGUUUACACGAAUAUCUAAAACAAUUGAAUUUAAAACGGAGUGGGCCGAAAAUUUCAAAAGGCAAGAUGUUAAUUGACAGAACUACCCUUGUCUUUAAAGCGGAAGGUGUCGGAACUACACUUGUUUAAGACGACACUGAGAUGUGAGAAGAAGAGGAGGAUUACAAGACCAAACACAAUGUCUAUUUUAAAAAGCAAAAGGGUUGUUUAGAGAUUAGAUUUAUUGACUUUGUAUUACAUAUGAUUUCUAUUUUAUUUGGGAAUCUCUGCUAAAACAGAGUUAUUAUAACAUGUAGGAUGCUUUUAUUGCUUGUUAUAUUUAGGCCUUGGCGGUUUCAGCCUCAUCAGCUCCCCAGAAACUUGUUUUCUUUCCUGUCUUUGAGACUGUCUGAAGAACAGCUUCUGGCUCCACGUUGCCUUUCACUGUUACCUUCUGUUCUUUCAGAUCCACAUCAAAUGACUCCACACCUACCAAUACAAUAUUCGUUGUUUGUUUUGUUUACACAUAAAAAUCAAUGAGAUGAGAAAGCAAAUAUAUACAACCAUAAAUAAGAUAUAUGCAAAUUAAUGAAACCAGAGAGUUUGUAACAUAAUGCAAAGUUAUCUGAGACUAACCUUGCAUUUUGCCUAAGACUCUCUUCACAGCUCCCACGCAUCCCUCACAUGGCAUAGCCACCUUUAGAACCACAGUCUACUCGGGUAACGUACCCAAAAAAAAAAUUUGAAGUUAAAAUUCUGGAAAGAUUUAUCAAAGUGGAUUUGUCAAGAUGUAAAAGAAUCUUGAAACACUGUCCCGUUAAUUGCUUUGAAACACCAUGUCCUAAUCAAAUUCCUCAAAUCAUCUCACAGAAACAAACUACUUCCUCCAUACAAAAAAAAAAAAUCAGCUAGAUUGACCUAGACAAAGACAGAUCAACCCUUUUCAACAACAAUUUUACAUGAUUCAUGGUCUUAUAUGAUCCUUGCCAUCAUCACCAGUUUGAUAAAAUGGGAAACUACUGACACCAAUGUUUUUAAUAUAUUUAACUACAGAUCUCUCGCUGAACUGAUUCAUACAUCAUAAAACCAGAUUACAAAGCAUCAACAAACCAUAACUCAAACCAAAGUCAGAUUCAAGUACCUGAGACAUACUUAAAAAUAAAUAAAAAAGUACCUGAGACAUAUUUCUUCUCUUUUUCCUUCCUAUAUGUAAAAGUUUCAACCACAGCGGAGAAAAUUUUGUAAAAGAAAAGAGAUGCUUCUGGAGCUUUUUAAACGAAUGCAGCUUUGACCAAUUCAACGAAUAUAUUCUUAGCUUUUUUUUUCCAUUGUGAGGUCACCCGAAGAUAUUCUUAUUUAAUCAAAUCAUACUAGACCAACUAUUCAACAAAAAAAAAAUAACGGAUGCAUGACCUUGAUGGACGGGUAACUAGAAAACAUCAAAGCCACUGAAUCCACGGCAGAUAAAAUUGUACGGCAGCAAAUUAUCGUAAUGUCAUCUUUCAAACACAUUUCAAAGUCUGAAACUUUACAAAAAAAAAAAAGAGAAUAUUUACAACGAGUUUUUUUUGGACAUGUUUGUUCAAUGUCAUUGCUAGUCCACGAAGCUCUGAUCCAGCGCGGAUCUCUCUUCGCCACCCGACCCGCCGAGAAUCCGACCCGAACGAUCUUCAGCUGCGAUAAAUUCACCGUCAACGCGGCCAAAUACGGCCCCGUGUGGAGGUCCCUGAGGAGGAACAUGGUCCAGAACAUGCUCUCCUCGACCCGCCUCAAGGAGUUCGGGUCGGUGAGACGAUCCGCCAUGGAUAAACUCAUCGAACGGAUCAAAUCGGAAGGUAAAGAGCACGACGGUUUAAUCUGGGUGCUUCGAAACGCGAGAUUCGCCGCGUUUUGCAUUCUGUUAGAGAUGUGUUUCGGAAUCGCGAUGGAUGAGGAGUCGAUCGAGAAGAUGGACGAGAUGAUGAAGACGGUCCUGAUGACGGUGGAUCCGCGAAUCGACGAUUACCUCCCGAUCCUCGCUCCCUUCUUCUCCAAAGAGAGGAGGCGAGCUCUCGAAGUCCGCCGCGAACAGGUCGAUCUCGUCGUGAGCCUCAUCGAGAAGCGACGGAGAGCGAUUCGGAAUAAAACGGCGCCGUCUUUCUCCUACCUCGACACGCUCUUCGAUCUAAAAGUCGAGGGACGCGAAACGGCGCCGUCUAACGAAGAGAUCGUGACUCUCUGCUCGGAGUUUCUCAACGGGGGAACGGACACGACGGGGACGGCGAUCGAGUGGGGGAUCGCGCAGCUGAUCGCGAACCCCGAGAUUCAAUCUCGGCUCUACGAUGAGAUUAGAUCGACGGCUGGAGAUCGUCGGAUCGAGGAGGGUGACGUGGAUAAAAUGGUCUUUUUGCAAGCGUUCGUUAAAGAGCUUCUCCGGAAACAUCCUCCGACUUAUUUCUCGCUGACGCACGCGGUCAUGGAAACGACGUCGCUUGGAGGUUACGAUGUUCCCGCGGGCGUUAACGUCGAGGUUUAUAUUCCCGGUAUAAGCGAGGACCCGAGGAUCUGGUCUAAUCCGAAAAAGUUUGAUCCGGACCGGUUUAUAUCGGGUAAGGAGGAUGCUGACAUAACCGGGAUCAGUGGAGUGAAGAUGAUUCCGUUUGGUGUUGGCCGUCGGAUCUGUCCUGGGCUUGGAAUGGCGACCGUACACGUGCACCUCAUGCUUGCGAGGAUGGUUCAAGAGUUUGAGUGGACCGCUUAUCCGACCGGAAGCGAGAUUGAUUUCGCCGGUAAAACGGAGUUCACGGUGGUGAUGAAGAAUCCAUUGAGAGCCAAGGUUAA
rnacentral:lncRNA from 1 species